rnacentral:rRNA from 1 species
GACCUCGAAUCAGGUAGGACUACCCGCUGAACUUAAGCAUAUCAAUAAGCGGAGGAAAAGAAACUAACAAGGAUUCCCCUAGUAACUGCGAGUGAAGCGGGAAGAGCUCAAAUUUGAAAUCUGGCGGUUCUGCCGCCCGAGUUGUAAUCUGGAGAAGCGUUUUCCGUGCCGGACCGUGUACAAGUCCCUUGGAACAGGGCGUCAUAGAGGGUGAGAAUCCCGUCUUUGACACGGACUCCCGGUGCUCUGCGAUGCGCUCUCGAAGAGUCGAGUUGUUUGGGAAUGCAGCUCACAAUGGGUGGUAAAUUCCAUCUAAAGCUAAAUAUUGGCGAGAGACCGAUAGCGAACAAGUACCGUGAGGGAAAGAUGAAAAGCACUUUGGAAAGAGAGUAAACAGUACGUGGAAUUUGUUUGAAAGGGAAACGCUUGGAAGUCAGUCGCGUCUUUUGNGGACUCANCCCUUGCUUNUGCUCGGUGCACUUUCCAAUUUGANGGGUCAGCAUCGGGCUCUGGGGGGUGGACAAAGGCGUGG